rnacentral:rRNA from 1 species
GACGUAGGGCGCGAGCGUUGUCCGGAAUCAUUGGGCGUAAAGAGCGCGUAGGCGGUCCGGUAAGUCCGCUGUGAAAGUCAAGGGCUCAACCCUUGAAUGCCGGUGGAUACUGUCGGGCUAGAGUCCGGAAGAGGCGAGUGGAAUUCCUGGUGUAGCGGUGAAAUGCGCAGAUAUCAGGAGGAACACCGAUGGCGAAGGCAGCUCGCUGGGACGGUACUGACGCUGAGGCGCGAAAGCGUGGGGAGCAAACAGG